rnacentral:rRNA from 1 species
AUUGAACGCUGGCGGCAGGCCUAACACCUGCACGUCGAGCGAGCGGCGGACGGGUGAGUAAUGUAUGGGGACUGCCCGAUAGAGGGGGAUAAAUACUGGAAACGGUGGCUAAUACCGCAUACUAUCGGAUAACCCAUAUGGGAUGAGCUAGUAGGUGGGGUAAAGGCUCACCUAUGCGACGAUCUCUAGCUGGUCUGAGAGGAUGAUCAGCCAAACUGGGACUGAGACACUGCCCAGACUCCGACGGAGGAAGCAGUGGGGAAUAGUGCACAAGGGGCGCAAGACUGAUGCAGCCAUGCCGCGUGUAUGAAGAAGGCCUUAGGGUUGUAAAGUACUUUCAGCGGGGAGGCGUUACCCGCAGAAGAAGCACCGGCUAACUCCGUGCCAGCAGCGGCGGUAAUUC